GACGAACGCUGGCGGCGUGCCUAAUACAUGCAAGUCGAACGAGAGCGCCCGGUGCUUGCACUGGUCAAUCUAGUGGCGAACGGGUGAGUAACACGUGGGUAGCCUGCCCAUCAGAGGGGGAUAACAUUCGGAAACGGAUGCUAAAACCGCAUAGGUCUUCGAACCGCAUGGUUUGAAGAGGAAAAGAGGCGCAAGCUUCUGCUGAUGGAUGGACCCGCGGUGCAUUAGCUAGUUGGUGAGGUAACGGCUCACCAAGGCCGUGAUGCAUAGCCGACCUGAGAGGGUGAUCGGCCACAUUGGGACUGAGACACGGCCCAAACUCCUACGGGAGGCAGCAGUAGGGAAUCUUCCGCAAUGGACGCAAGUCUGACGGAGCAACGCCGCGUGAGUGAAGAAGGUUUUCGGAUCGUAAAACUCUGUUGUUAGAGAAGAAUAAGUGCUAGAGUAACUGUUAGCGCCUUGACGGUAUCUAACCAGAAAGCCACGGCUAACUACGUG
rnacentral:rRNA from 1 species